rnacentral:tRNA from 1 species
AAAAAGAUAAGCUAAAAUUAAAGCUGUUGAGUUCAUACCUCAAAUAUGAAUAUUUAAUUCUCUUUUUG